AUUACUUUUAGACUAUGAUUUCUAAACAACAAAGCACUUUUUAUUUUUUUAUUUUUUUUAGUAAAACUUGUUAUUGGCUGUUAUAAAUAAGUUUUCAAAACUUAUUAAAAUAAAGUAAUAUUUCAAUUAUAGUUUCUUAAAAGUAUGCCAUAUUGCAAAAUAAGCAAAGUGACCGAUUUUUAAAGUACCGCCCCUGACCGCUACUUUAUAUUUGCUCACUUUAUACAAAUACUUUAAUGCGCUUUUUAAACUCAUAUCCAUUCACAAAACUAUUCUUAUUUAAAAUGCAAUCACAAUUUUGUGCAAUCACAACAAUCCGUUUUAAAAUGCAAUCACAACAAUCCGUGCUUUGUUCAUGUGAAUUGGACCUUAUGAUUUUAGCGAAUAAAAUACCAUUUUAAUGAUUAAAGCUGAUUUGAAAAACCUACGCCUUCCUAAACAUUUAAAUACAGACAUUAACAAAAAAGCAGUUCUACAAAUAAGCGAAGAAAGUGCAGAAAAUAUGAUAAAAUAAACAACAGAUGCCAUGCUUAAUAUAUACCAAGAAUGAACUAGAAUUUUCGUUAAAGAUAUCCUGAAAAGAGCACUGAAUAGAAAAAGCGUCGGUGACCGUGAAAAACUAAACAUUGAUAUAUUUUAGAUCUGUAAUUUGAUAAAUUUUUAGUCUUGUGUAUACUUUCAA